GGGGAUGCGUGGUUUCGACAGGGCAGGCGAACGUAUCGCUGCGCGCCGAGGAACGCCGUUCCUCCUCGUAAAUCCGAACGGCGCCAGGUAACUGGCACAACCUCUUACGCAGUCGCUGCCUAGUCAGUGACCGUCCUCCCGGUCUCCGCUCCACGGGCCGGGAAGGGCGUAAUAAGUGGAGCUGCGGUCCGCCGAG
rnacentral:tmRNA from 1 species